rfam:Echinostoma caproni strain Egypt genome assembly, scaffold: ECPE_scaffold0004024
GGCCUCAUAGCUCGGCUGGUAGAGCGUGCGCCGUACAAAAGCGUAGGCGGCGUCCAUGUGUGGGUUCGAAUUCCACCGAAGCUA